ACAAACGCUGGCGGCGUGCCUAAUACAUGCAAGUCGAACGAGGAAAGCUUUCGGGUGAGUACUAGUGGCGCACGGGUGAGGAAUACAUGGGUAAUCUGCCCUCGAGUUGGGGAUAACCAGUCGAAAGAUUGGCUAAUACCGGAUAAGACCACAAGAUCUGCGGAUCAAGGGGUUAAAGGUUUUUCGCUUGAGGAUGAGCCCAUGUGGGAUUAGCUAGUUGGUGAGGUAAUGGCUCACCAAGGCGACGAUCCCUAACUGGUCUUAGAGGAUGAUCAGUCACACUGGAACUGAGACACGGUCCAGACUCCUACGGGAGGCAGCAGUAGGGAAUAUUGCACAAUGGAGGAAACUCUGAUGCAGCGACGCCGCGUGAGUGAUGAAGGCCUUCGGGUCGUAAAGCUCUGUCGUAUGGGACUAACAAAAUGAAGGUACCAUGCAAGAAAGGAUCGGCUAACUUCGU
rnacentral:rRNA from 1 species